GCUGGUGUUGCUAAGUGGUUAGAGUGUUGGUCUGUGCACCGAUGGGUACCGGUUCAAUUCCUGGUCAAGGGCA
rfam:Myotis lucifugus cont2.16997, whole genome shotgun sequence.